GGGGCUACAAAGCAAUGAGGUAGGGUACUGGCAACAGUGCUCUGCUGAAUAUUUUCACCCAUGUCUUUUGCGCACUUUUUGUUUCCUGGGCGAGUUUGCUCGCCACCAGGACCCCCAUAUGAACCUUUUUUGUUUUUGCACUCAGCGUCAGUACAAUAAUUUAAUCUAUUAAAACUUUCAACAACGGAUCUCUUGGUUCUGGCAUCGAUGAAGAACGCAGCGAAAUGCGAUACGUAGUGUGAAUUGCAGAAUUCAGUGAAUCAUCGAAUCUUUGAACGCACAUUGCGCCCUUUGGUAUUCCAAAGGGCAUGCCUGUUCGAGCGUCAUUUGUACCCUCAAGCUUUGCUUGGUGUUGGGCGUCUUAUUGUCUCUCCGUCUCGGGGAGACUCGCCUUAAAACAAUUGGCAGCCGGCCUACUGGUUUCGGAGCGCAGCACAAAUUUGCGCUUGCAAUCAGCCAAGGGCGGCAUCCAUGAAGCCUUUUUUCUCUCACAUUUUGACCUCGGAUCAGGUAGGGAUACCCGCUGAACUUAAGCAUAUCAAAA
rnacentral:rRNA from 1 species